UACAGAGGGGGCAAGCGUUAUUCGGAAUUAUUGGGCGUAAAGGGUGCGUAGGCGGGUCUUUAAGUCAGGGGUGAAAUCCUGGAGCUCAACUCCAGAACUGCCUUUGAUACUGAAGAUCUUGAGUUCGGGAGAGGUGAGUGGAACUGCGAGUGUAGAGGUGAAAUUCGUAGAUAUUCGCAAGAACACCAGUGGCGAAGGCGGCUCACUGGCCCGAUACUGACGCUGAGGCACGAAAGCGUGGGGAGCGAACAGG
rnacentral:rRNA from 1 species